UACGGAGGGUGCAAGCGUUAUUCGGAUUUAUUGGGCGUAAAGAGCGUGUAGGCGGUUUGGUAAGUCUGACGUGAGAUCCCUGGACUCAAUCCAGGAAGUGCGUUGGAUACUGCCAGACUAGAGUACAGGAGAGGAGAGCGGAAUUCCUGGUGUAGAGGUGAAAUUCGUAGAUAUCAGGAGGAACAACAGUGGCGAAGGCGGCUCUCUGGACUGUUACUGACGCUGAGACGCGAAAGCGUGGGGAGCAAACAGG
rnacentral:rRNA from 1 species